GGCUGCCUCUUUUCCUUCGGUCGCUGUGGACACUGUGCCGGACGCCUCUGGCAGGACUAACCCUGGGGCUUUUAUGUCCAGCGUGCUGUGCUGUGUGCCUGCAGCAUCCUGUACAAGACAAAGCUACCUUUCUUUCCUCGUGGGAAUGGACUGGCCGGGCUUUGGCAAUCUGGCCCCUCGAAAGACUAAAGUGACUUCUUCCAGCAGGGGAAGACUGAAGCAAGGGGUGCCAGGAAGAACUGGAGUCUCUGGAGAAUGAAAGCUGGAAGCGUGCCCCCGAAAAUCCCCAGCCCCGCGUGGUCAGUGGUCUGACUUGCACGGACCGGUGGCCUUGGCCAGGAGCGGUCCUGUGGGAAGCGCCUUUGCCCAGGCUGUAAUUUUAAUUUCCCUUGGAUGCUUGGCAAAGCCCCUCUGGGGGAGCCCCGGUGCCUGGCAGGAGCAGAGCGGGCUUCCAGGGAGGCAUUCACCCGGUCAGCGUCAGGAACCAUCCUAACUGAGGCCUCGGCUCCCUCUUUCCCUUCGGUCGCCGUGGGUGUGCCGGACGCCUCUGGCAGGACUAACCCCGGGGCUUUUAUGUCCAACGUGCUGUAUGCCUGCAGGUAAGAAAAGCUGGGAGUGCGGUCCCUCUGCUUUGAUUACUGUGUCUCUUUGGUAGUGAUUUUGGAGGGGAAUCCCAGAGCGAUUUGGUUUGAAGGGGACCUUCAAAGGCCACCCUGUCUUCC